CGAGAUCAUACCACUGCAUUCCAGCCUGGGCAACAGAGCCAGACUCUGUCUCAAAAAAAAAGAGUAAUCAAAAAGCUACAUUAUUUAAAUCUUGGCAUGUCUUUAAAAAAUGUUAAACUGUCAGGAAAAUUAUCACUUCUGGAUACCACCUUCAGAAAAACACAUGAAAAUUUGUGCAUGUCUCAAAUAGUUGUUAAUUUAUGAAAAAUUAGAAAGAGUGUUUGAAUGUAUAUUUCUGUCAUAUUAUAUUGCUCAUAUUUUUAAAUUAUACUUUUUUUCACCCGUGAAGCCCAUAUAGUUAAGUUUGAAAAUUUUAAUUAUAUUAGAAUUUGAAAAUUAAAUAAAUCUCCUUUAAUUCAUGCAUAAUUUUCUAAUAGUCAUAUAGUUUGUAUUAUAUAAUUUGAGAAACUUGGUUCUAAAAAAAUUGUCUGCCAAAGAAUGUAUAUUUCUGAAUUCUGUUCUGCUUUCAUACAUCUGAAAAUAUUUGAGCUAUCAUAACUGGCUAUGCUUCAAACCCAGUCUGAAAUGGGUGACCUUUGCUGGCUUUGGAUUGCAGAGCUGGGGGCUGUUGUUUGCUUUAUCUGAUUUAAAAUAGUCAGUAGUUUAUUUUGCAGGCAGUUAGAUGUAUACCUUUGCAUAAAAUCAUUGAACUGAAAAGGUUGGCACUCCAAGAAUACGUUGUGAGAAAAGAGAACUUGAGUACUCACUCUCGACUCACCUGAAUCUUAUUAAUAUUUUAUUGAUUAAUAUCUGUUGUAUUUUUAAGUAAAUAAGCUCUCUAGAAACUAUCUCUGCUUCUUUGUUCAUUUAAAAUAUAUUAAACAAAUUGAUACAGAUUGCAAAAAUUAGUUGCAACGUUCCUAGUUAGAUAUCAAUGAAAUAAAAAUGGUCUAUUCAUACGAGUUCAUUUUAGUUAUUCCUACUAAUAUCAAAUGUGUUUUAAAAAAUGGGAGAUUAUAAUCUUUUUAUGAAGUAAGAUAAAUUAUUACUUUGUAUAUUUAAUUCAAAGAAAACAAAAAGGCCACAAGUGCCUGCAUAAAGGCACAUCCACUUAGGAUUAUUGUUAAGGCCUACAGUUGAUAAUUAGGAUUCAGGCAUAGCAUAAAUGAAGUGGUAUCUUUUUUUUUUUUUUUUUUUUUGAGACGAAGUCUCGCUCUGUUGUCCAGGCUGGAGUGCAGUGGCACGGUCUCGGCUCACUGCAAGCUCUGCCUCCCUCCUGGGUUCACGCCAUUCUCCUCCCUCAGCCUCCCGAGUAGCUGGGACUACAGGCUUCCGCCACCACUCCCAGCUACGUUUUUUUGUAUUUUUGGUAGAGACAGGGUUUCACCAUGUUAGCCAGGAUGGUCUUGAUCUCCUGACCUCAUGAUCCACCCGUCUCGGCCUCCCAAAGUGCUGGGAUUACAGGCAUGAGCCACCGCGCCCAGCCAGAUAUCAAUUAUUUUUAGACCCAAUGAUAUUUGCUGUUGAUUUAUUGUUGGUGCACAAAAUAAGAAAACAAAAGCAUGGUUUUAAAACAGCCCUUUACACAUUUAAUAUGGAAAUGGUAACCUACAGGUCUGUAUUCCAUACAGAUUCCUGGGCUCAUUUUAUCUGUGAAUUCCUCUGGGCGUCAUGCAUGCCCAGGACUGACUUUAAAGCAGAAUUAUCCAGUAGAGGUAUAAUAGGACCGUUAGAUCUAAUUUAAAGUUUUCAAGUAGCCACAUAAAAAAAUAAGCAGGCGAAAUUAAUUUUAGUCUGUCACUAAAUUCAAAAUGUUAUUUCAACAGGGGGUCAAUAUAAAAGCUAUUUAUGAAAUACAUUAUUUUUUCAUAUUAUGUCUUCAAAAUGUUCACAUUUCACAUAUUUAUUUUUUAUUUUAUUAUUACUAUUUUUUUGAGACGGAGUCUCACUCAGUCGGUUGCCCAGGCUAGAGUGCAAUCUAGCUUGCUCAUUGCAAUCUUGGCUCAUUGCAACCUCCACCUCCUGGGUUCAAGCAGUUUUCCUGCCUCAGCCUCCUGAGUAGCUGGGAUUACAGGCGUGUGCCAUCACACCCAGCUAAUUUUUUUAUUUUUGGUAGGGAUGAGAUUUCACCAUGUUGGCCAGGCUGGUCUUGAACUCCUGACCUCAAGUGACUUGCCGCUUUGGCCUCCCAAAGUGCCGGGAUUACAGUUGUGAGCCACCGCACCUGAUUACAUAUUUCACAUAUUUUAAUUCAGACCAGCUGCAUGUCAAGUACUUAGUAGCCACAGAUGGCUAGUGGUUACUGUAUUGGACAGUGCAGCUCUAGGAGAGUCUCUUCAACCUGCAGCUGUCUAGGAAGAGAAUCAUAGUUUCUGGAACAGGUAGAAUCUAUAAGACCUCCUUUUUAAGCUUCUCCACUUUACAGAUGAAGAAAGUAAUAUCUGGAGAUGUUGAGUUGUUCAAAAUCACCCACAUUUUAAGGAUCAAGAGCCCAGUCCCUGUUCUCUAACUUCUAAUCUCUUUCUUCAUCACUUUUUCUGCUUCAUGUUGCUGCAUCCCCUUUAGUUACUAAGGUACUAACGUUAGGUUGUUGCUAUCAGUUAAAUAUUAAGCCAGGAGCUUUAAGACAAUCUGGCCCACUUGAAGGCAUGGCCUGAUUUGGACAAAACUUGUGGGGUAGGAUGAAUAGAGUUACCAGGCAUAUCUUCAACCUCUCUGUGGACUAGUAUUAUACAUAUAUGAGAUGAUGUAGGGUCCAGUGAUCAGUUCAUCUUUUUCUAUUGUGAGCACUGUUGGAAUAGGAAUGGGGGGACCUUUUGGGACCCAGGAUAUGUGAUUCUGAACCCUGAAAUGUCAGAUGCCCACUAAAAGGAAGGGGAGAGAUGGACCUGUCAUUACCUUACACAUUUUAUUGUCUGUAUGGGUAUGUAAACAUGUACAGAUUAUAAGGAAUUGCACUUCAUUUCUGGGCUUCUGGAAACACAGGUAUUAAGAUUUCAUUUACCUCCCCUUGUUUUGGAAGGCUUAUUGUGUGUGUGCCCAUAGUUCUUACCCAGUUACACUUAAAGUAUGAUACUUUUUGACAGCUUAAGCCUAUUGCAUUCCUGGCAUGUAAAAUAGUUAUUUUCAGAAUGUAAGCAAAUGUGGAAAGCUUACUGCCUGACAUGGAGGGUUGGAGAAGUGGGAUUGGUGUUCUUUUGUUGUAAACUCAUUUUUGUGAAAUAUUUGCUUUACAACGUGAAGCAUGCAUGAUGGAUGAACUUUUAGAAUUGAAAGUUAUUUUUCAUUUCAUUCCUGAAAUAUUUACCAGCAUGGAUGUUGACUGAGUGCUUUGAAGAGUUUGCUUAGUCAUAUAACUUAGGUUUUAUGAUUUUAGAUUUAAUUAAACUUAAAGUUUUCCUGUUUGAUCCUCAGGACUUCUCAUCUGUGGCAAGGCUUUACUCACAAAGGAAAUAUCAACCUUGAAGUUAAGCAUGCCCUGUGUUUCUUUAUAUUCUGAUGAAAACGAUUGAAGUUUGCCAGUGCUGUGUCUGGGACAAUGCUUAGAGGAUUCAUGGCUUGUAGGAAUGAGUUAAAAGUACAAGGAUAUUGGCUGGCAUGGUGACUGUCGCCUGUAGUCCCAAAACUUUGAGAGUCUGAGGUCAGAGGAUUGCUUGAGCUCAGGAGUUUGAGACAAGCCUGGGCAGCAUAAGGAGAUCCCAUCUCUAUGUUUUUUAAAAAAGUGAAAAACAACAACAACAACAAGGUACAGGGGUAUCUGCGUUUCCUUAGGCAGCUGUCUUAUAUACCUUUAACCUUAAAAAAAUCCACCAUUUUUAAAACAGUGUUUUCUGUUGUUUUUCUUAGUAAAUAUAAACAAUAGGAACUGAAGUUUAGGGCUUAAAAUUUUUGAGAGAAUAAUUUUUAUUUCAGUAGCUUUUGGGGUACAAGUGGUUUCUUGUUACUUAGUUGAAUUACGUAGUGGUGAAUUCUGAGAUUUUAGUGCACUUAAGUAGGGUACCUUGUACCUAAUGUCUAGUUUUUCUUUUAAUCCCUAGUCCCCUAUUACCCUCCUCCUCGUGAGUCUCUAAAGUCCAAUAUGUCCCUCUGUGUGCCUUUGCUUAUUCCUAACUUAGUUCCCACUUAUAAGAGAGAACAUACGGUUUUUGGUUUUCCAAUUCCUGAAUUACUUUACUUAGAAUAAUGGCCUCCAGCUCUAUCCAAGUUGUUGCAAAAGACAUUAUUUUGUUCCUUGUAAUGGCUGAGUAGUAGUCCCUGAUAUAUAUAUGCCACAUCUUCUUUAUCCUCUCAUUAGUCAGUGGCCACUUAGGUUGGUUCUGCAUCUUUGCAUUUGUGAAUUGUGGUCCUGUAAACAUAUGUGUACAAGUGUCUUUUUCAUACAAUGACUUCUUUUCCUCCGGGUAGAUACCCAGUAUUAAGAUUGCUGGAUCAAAUGGUAGAUCUACUUUUAACUCUUUAGGAAAUCUCCAUAAUGUUUUCCAUAGAGGUGGUACUAGUUUACAUUCUGAGAGAAUAAUUUUUGUAAAAUUAUGUUUAAGCUAGAUUUGGAAUUGGGAAAGAAUUACAUUCUUUAUAGGAAGCUUUUGAAAAAUAUAUUUAAAAAUAUAUAAAAAUAUGCAUAAUCCUACCACCCACAAAUGUCUGUAUUAUUAUGUCAUUUCUAAACCAUUUUUGAGAUUAUGCUAUAGAUUACGUUUUAGAUCCUACAUUUUAUUUCUUAACAUUAAAUCUCAUACUAUUUUAAGUUCUUUGUACAUGUAAUGUUUACUGAAUGGGUAAAUCUGUUUAGGGAAACUGGAGCUAUGUAGUUGUGGACUUGUGCUUUUGUUUUGUUUUGUUUUGUUUGUUUGUACAUUUGCUUUUUAGAAAUGUCUAUUCAGAUCCUUGGCCCAUUUUUUUUUUUUUUUUUUUUUUUGAGAUGGAGUCUUGCUCUGUCGCCCAGACUGGAGUGCAGUGGCGCGAUCUCGGCUCACUGCAAGCUCCGCCUCCCGGGUUCACGCCAUUCUCCCGCCUCAGCCUCCCGAGUAGCUGGGACUACGGGCGCCCGCCACCACGCCCGGCUAAUUUUGUUUUUGUUUUGUAUUUUUAGUAGAGAUAGGGUUUCACCAUGUUGGCCAGGAUGGUCUUGAUCUCCUGACCUCGUGAUCCCCCCGCCUCGGCCUCCCAAAGUGCUGGGAUUACAGGCGUGAGCCACCGUGCCCAGACAGACAUGUGCUUUUUUAUUUGGCAUUUCUAGCCUGAACAUAGGCUGGAAGUAGUGACUUAGAGAGGGAUUGUUUGCCAAAUAUCAGGUAAUAUUUUAAUUAUUUAUUAUUUAUUGUAAUGCUGUGAAUCAGGAGUCCCUAACCCCUGGGCCAUGGACUGGUACCGGUCUGUGGCGUGUUAGGAGCUUUGCUGCACAGCAGUAGGUGAGCAAUGGGUGAGUGAGUGUUGCUGCCUGAGCCCUGCCUCUUGUCACAUCAGCAGGGCAUUAGAUGCUCAUAGGAGCGCAAACCCUAUUGUGAACCGCAUGUAAGAAAGUGAGAGCUGCGUUGCACACUCCUUAUUAGAAUCUAAUGCCUGAUGAUCUGAGGUGGAGCAGUUUCAUCCCGAAACCAAACCACAAAAUUGUCUUUCAUCAAACCAUUCCCUGGUGCCAGAAAGGCUGGGGACCACUGCUAUAAAUUGCUGCUGUCAAGUAGUGUUACGCAUGGUGGUCUUUAACAUAAAAAAAAAAGGUAAUGAACGUACACCACACAGAUUAGCAAAAAUAAGGAAAGGCUGAUCUAGUAGUUCAAACAAGCAAUCCUCUUAUUUAAUGGUUCUGUGAUUGCUCGUGUAGGCAGAAGCUUAACUGUAAGUUGUUGCAUUUGACAGGCAAAUGUAGCUGGAGCUGGAAUGUAGAUAUUAGUGAAAUUGUGAUUUCAGUUUACUGGAGCCAUUCAGUGGGAGCAUGAAGUGGGUUACAUGAUUACACGGAUAUAAAUAAAGCGUCCUCCUUGCCACUUCACUGCUGUUAAAGUCUCUCCUGAUGUUAUGUGGUGAAAAACAAGUCAAAAACAUUAAUUCUGUCAAGUUUCCAAAGAUAUAAGAAUCUUUGACCAGAAAAGAGACGGUAUUUAUCUUCAAAUUUAACAAAUUGUGAUGAAAUGCUGCUGUUACAGAACCUAGUGUAAGGUCGUGGAGUCCAUUCAGCCAGACACAUGUAAUUUUGAUUAUUAACUGCCGUUUCUGUGGUCAGUCGGCCAGUUUUAUAUAUUUCACAUUAUAGGUAUUUGGAGCAAAGACAGUGUUGUUUAUUGUUUACUUUAAAAAAAUACAAUACUGUAACUACAUAAUGAGUAAAUGUUGAUACUGUUGAAAACUAAUAAAAACAAAUUCUUACACUAUCAACAUCACAGAAAUUCUAAUUGUAAGAAAAUAUUGAUAUAAUAUGGAAAUCCGUUCAUUUAUUUGGUGCAUUAAUUGAACACCAACACUAUGCCAAGCAUUGGGAUACAACCAUGAAAGAGGCCAGCUUCCUGAUCUCACAGAGCUUGUACUUUGUUGGGUGGGGCAGAGAGCAAAUCAGUCAAUCUGUCUGUCUGUCUGUCUAUCUAUCUGUCUAUCUAUCUGUCUAUCUAGAUGUCAAUCAGUAUACUCUGUGCCACUUGGUGGUCAGUGCUAUGAAGAAAAAUUAAGCCAGUGAGGAGCUGGAUAGAGACACAGUCUGGAAGGGUAUGAAGGGGAUCAGAAUAUGCUACCCCCAAAUAUGCCAUUUCAGCAAAGUACUAAUUUGAGCUGAAGACAAUCGAGAAAUAGCAGACCCAGGACAAGCUUUACCCCCUUUUUAUAAAAAUUUUGCUGUGUGAAGGUAUCCUCCUUCCCCUCUCCAUCCCUGGAGAGACCACUAGAGGUGGCACCAUCGCCUGCAGAAACAAACCUUAUUGAAAUAACCCUUAUCUUCUAUUAGUUUCCCCCAUAUAUUUACCUUACCACACUUCCCCUGGAAGCCCUAAUCCCCUCUCCUUUGUCUUGUGACUUCUCCACAGUUUAUUGCUCUUUGUUAAAAUGGUGUGUAUGCUCUCAGGCCUAACUGCUUCUUUUGGGUUUUUGCUUUUCUGUGGAGCUCCCUCCUCUCCCCUCCCUCAUGUAAAAAUAAUAACAUUAAAUAAAAUUUGUGUUUUUUCCCCUGCGAAUCUGUCUCGUCAGUUUAAUUGGCAAGGCCUCAUGUGCUGAACCUAACAGGGUAGAGAAAAAAGGUUUUUUUCCCCUUUUCUACAAGUAUUAAACCUGGAGAGAACAAUACAGUGUAAAGGCUGUGAGGUGGGAGCAUGCUGGGGUGUUGGAAGAAGCACAUGAGCUUACAAACAUUCCAUCAAUUUGCAUUCAUUCCAAAAAUUGUAUGCAAUUUUUCAGUGACGAUUCCCAUUGAUCAAUCAUUUAUAAAAACUAAUGGUGAGGGUCUUCCAUACUCAGUUUACUCCCUUCUUGGAAAAGAAUGUACAUUUUAAUCAAGAUGAUUUCAUGAAAGACAUUCUGUACUCCAAACAUUUAAAAGAGCGUUUAGAGUAUACAGCAAUUCAUCUUUUCUUCUGUAUUUUAAAAUUUAAGACAGGGAGAAUUAUUGUAUUAUACUUAGUUCAGAUUUGGUGGUGGUUUUGUUUUUUGGUUCCAGUGAAAAGAAAUUGCAUCAGUAACCUGGCGGUCAACCGUGCCAUAUUGUUUGUGAUUUAUUAGUCUGGAAAAAAUAACUGUAUUUCUGGCAUAUGUAAAAAUAGUUUGCUGAGAGGCCUCCUUGGUUGUGGCAAUAGUAAUACUAAUUACCAGGUACUGUAUGUAGCUCAUUCUAUGAACCAGGCCUUGUUGAAAAGUGCUUUCACUUAAUUUUUUCUUUUCAGCAGCCUGUGAGGUACCUACUGUUAUCCCCAGCUGGGAGGGAGCUGGCCAGUGGACUGGGUUUAAACUAUGUUUUCAUUGUCUUUACUCUUAACCACUUAUCUUCUCUGCCUCCAGCAAAAUAAGUCAAAGAGUUCAGCCAGUGUUUCUUCUUGGACUAAGCAGUCAGCCUCCUAAGUAAGCAAGCCUUGGAAUGCAAUUGAUUGGUGGCCUCUUACUAUCUUUACAUCCAUGUGAAUGUGUGUGCUUUGAUGUGUACAUAUGAGAGACAAGAACAAAAGUAAAUGUCAAAUAUCCGAAUUCCUGUUUCAGUGAGCUUUCACGGAGUAAAUUCUUUUUGUCUACUUGCCUGUGAUCUCUUCUAAUAUGACUUGCGUUAAUGACCUUUAAGAAAUCUUUUAAUAAAAUAAAAAAUUUUAUUAAAAUCUUUUAAUAAAAAAAUUUUAUUAAAAUCUUCUAAUAAAAAAUUUUAUUAAAAUCUUC